rnacentral:rRNA from 1 species
AACGCUAGCUACAGGCUUAACACAUGCAAGUCGAGGGGUAGCAUGAAACUUAGCAAUAAGUUUUGAUGACGACCGGCGCACGGGUGAGUAACACGUAUCCAACCUGCCUUUUACUCAUGGAUAGCCUUCUGAAAAGAAGAUUAAUACAUGAUGGUAUUCAGAGUUUUCAUGGACACUGAAUUAAAGAUUUAUCGGUAAGAGAUGGGGAUGCGUUCCAUUAGAUAGUAGGCGGGGUAACGGCCCACCUAGUCAACGAUGGAUAGGGGUUCUGAGAGGAAGGUCCCCCACAUUGGAACUGAGACACGGUCCAAACUCCUACGGGAGGCAGCAGUGAGGAAUAUUGGUCAAUGGACGCAAGUCUGAACCAGCCAAGUAGCGUGAAGGAUGACUGCCCUAUGGGUUGUAAACUUCUUUUAUAUGGGAAUAAAGUGCUCCACGUGUGGAGUUUUGUAUGUACCAUUAUGAAUAAGCAUCGGCUAACUCCGUGCCAGCAGCCGCGGUAAUACGGAGGAUGCGAGCGUUAUCCGGAUUUAUUGGGUUUAAAGGGAGCGUAGGUGGAUUGAUAAGUCAGCCUGUGAAAGUUUGCGGCUCAACCGUAAAAUUGCAGUUGAUACUGUCCGUCUUGAGUACAGCAGAGGUUAGCGGAAUUCGUGGUGUAGCGGUGAAAUGCUUAGAUAUCACGAAGAACUCCGAUUG